rnacentral:lncRNA from 1 species
UUUUAAAAAAGUGUAUAAAAGAAAAUGUAUUAUUGAAAAACAUUUUGUUCUUAAUUCCAUCCAAACGGACCCUGAGCUUAUUUACAAGUUAAAUAAACUUUUACCAGUUUAGUAGGGACUAAUUACAGAAGAAACAAUUUUAGAAUUUUUUGAUCUCGCCUUGAAACUUGCCUGAAAAUAACCUGUAAAAUUCAAGGAAAUAGCUUACACUCAGACAUACACACAAAGAACAAAUAUAAUGAAAAAUAGAGGUAGAAGACUAAGUCCGUAGGGAGACAAACAUAAAAAUAGGUUCUUUAAGGAAAAUGUUAGACCCAAAGUUCUCGACUUUGCACUUGUCACUUACCAAAUGAUGAAAAGGGAAAAAGCACAACGCUUUUCCCUAUGGCUGAAUGUUGAAACAACGGGUUUAGAGAAGAACUUCUUCGAUGAAAACCACCAUUACCUAAACCCUAACCCCACAAAAAUCAAGAAUCCUAAAAAGCCGCGGAAAAUGGAAAAGUAGGUAGAUAGAAGUAACAAACUAGUAACAAAAAAAAUUAAUUUUUAAGAAAUGAAAUAACAUAAUAAAAAAGGAACCUUGAAGCGCACAUAAUUUAUCAACAAUGGUUGGGCACGCAGUGGUUCGACGACCACGAGGUUGUGCUCACGACAAAAGCACAAUGACAAAAAAGGCUGGGUUCACAACAGUGGUGGAUUCGAUGACUGGGCACGAGGGAUUCUUGCGACGGAAGCACAACUGGGCACGAGGGACUAGCUUGAGGGAUUCUUGCUCGGCGGCAGGAGAAAUAGAGCUAGAGUUGUGAUGAGAUUGAGAAGAGAAUGAAAGAAACUGAAAAUCGUGUGGCUUAGAUAGGAAAGAGUAAAGUACGAGAGAAAAACCAACAUGAGCUUAGCUCAACUGACAUCUGUAUGUACUUGUGGACAAGAGGUCCUAGGUUCAACUCUCCACCAUUUUUUCAUUGUAAAAGGUGGCAAGGAAAAGGAUGUUAAGAAAGUGUGAAGGAAGGUCGGUCCCUGCAUUGUAAGCAAUUUAGUUACGCAAUAAUUCUUGACACAAUAGAGACACUUAAAUUGUCUUCUAAUUAAGGUCGGCGAACACCUCUCAGUGUCUUAAACGCCACACUUGCUCACACUAAAAAAAAUUGGAGUUUUAUGAACGCAGAAAGUGGCGUUGGGAUAAUGAACGAUUUAAGAAAGGGUUUUUGCCGACAUGGUGAGAAAAGUGUCAGCAUUGGUCUUCAAUGAUGAUGUCACUAAAAAGGGAGAAAUGGUGAUGCCAUGCAUGAUGACAUCAUGAUAGCGUUUUAUUUAAAAAAUAUUAAUUGAGGUUCCCAUGACGUCAUUGGUUUGUUUGAUUGGAGUUACUAAUUUUGUGUGUGUAAUGCAAAUGCGAUGAGUCAUGGGUUAUGCACGAUGCUUGCAAUAUACCUCUUCCUCACAUAAUACUUAAGUCCUCGUUGAAUACAAGUUAUCCUACUGUUUGCCCAAGUGUAAGCGAAACUGUAGGUUUAUCUGGAUGAUUCAGGGUCGAACACUGGAAAAUGUUGAUAGACAUUAGUUCUAGCAAAUUACUCAUUAGUUAGGCGGUAUAAGAAUUAACUAAUAAGGUAUAAAAGAAUCAGAACUAGGAUUAAAACUACUUAUGUGCACCUAAAGAAUCUGUAAAGGGGAGUAAAUGGAUGCAAAAUGGAGUAAUAUGCGAACUAACUUGUAUGCGAGAAAGAGUGAAUGAAGGUUACGCGCCAUUAUGCGAUUAAGUGAUGCAAUAGUUUCGAUGCAAUUUAACUUACUCAACCAACUUAUGAUUAAGGCGUACUCCUCUUAGAGUAUUAAACACCACGCAUAGUCUCCUUUUGGGAUCCACAUGACUAAGUCUGAUUAAGUGAGAUAUAUCUAGAAGUAUUCAAUUAUAAGACUCCUAAACUUCGCGCUUAAGAACAACAACCUCUCGGUGCCUAAUGUCCACACUUGUUCUCCUUUCAAGAUACAAAUGUUGGAGGUUAUCUAGCUAAGGUGGAGUUUGUUGCUAAAUUUCUCCUUGCGUGCAUUAGUCUUAUUCUUGCUACUUUUCCUCUCGGGUAGUUGGCAAUUGACACUGGCCAAGUGAUAAAUAUAGCUCAACUAAUGCGAUAAGGAUUAUAAGCUAAACUUUUUAUAAAAAACUAUCAUUGACUUAAACUACUAAUAAGACUUUGAUAAACGAAAAGUCGAGAAAUGAUGGAUUGAAAAGGUAUACGUGUGCAAUAUAUAUAAAGACUGUAGGCCUUAGGCCAUUGUACAAUAUGAACAACAUAUAUUACAACGAAGUACAAAAAUAGAGAGACAGGUAGUUAAACAUAUUACAAGUUAGGGGACAAUGAAAGUAUGAAUUCUUCUCUUCUCAAGAGUCAAGCUUUUGCUUUUACAACUGAUCGAAGAAGAAGAAGAAAACAUUUACAGACGGCAGAAAGACUAUUCCUUUUCGCCACACUCUAUGGUACUUGGCCGAUUUGGGUCUCUUGUGCCUAUUCAAACAUCUUCUUUGUAGGUUGUUGGAGAUGGCUUUAUAUAGGUAGCAAUUGGGAGGAAAACUUUUAUCUUUUAAACUUGUCAGCGACAUCCAUCGAAAUGUGUUUGUCGCACGUCACAUCACCUCCAACUACCGCUUUUUUCUUCUAGUGACCCUUCUUCGUGUUAUAACUUUGUUCCUUACCUGGAGACGUUAAUCGCCAUAUGAGUUCCUGGUUGUACUCCUUGUGCAAAAUGUUUCCUACGGUUUACUAGUUUCUUUGUUUAUUCAAUAUCCUGCAUUUAGACAUUAAAAUCUCGUGAAACAUGCAUAACACUUAUGUAAAGUAUAUUUUCAAAUACUUAUGCGUUUACAACACAAGUUACGCGUUUUGAUCAUCUUCUUAUGCAUUUUGACCUCAUUAUUCUAAUACAAGGGGCUAUAAUAAUGGGUAUUUAUACACGCUAUUAGUCAUGCAUAUCCAUGUUGCUAUUUUCCCCCUAAUAGAGACGUCGUAAAGAACGAUGUCAACGAAUCUCUAAAAUAUUAUUAAAAUGGUAGUCUCUUGUGACGUAUACGUUAACUGCAUCGUCAUUGCGCUAUCUAAAACGAUGCACAUUGACCACUUCAACAAAGGUAUAACCUUUAAAUCAUUGUGACAAACCCUUUUGCCGACAUACUAGUUGUUGACGUUGCAAAAUGUUUGACGAUUUGAUUGAUUUGGAAAAGAUAAUGACGACGCCAUAAGUGACCACGUUGACAUUACCUUAGCUUCUAACGACGAGGCCACUUACUGCAUCGUUAGAAGGUGAGUUCUCGAGACAUUUUUUGUGGUGCAUCACGAGAACUCUCUUUAUUUUAGUUAUAUGUUCAUAUAACACAAAACCAAAACAAAGAAGAAAGAAGAGACGAGGACGAAAGAGAGAGGGAGACCCAUCGCCCUUAUUGCCAUUGUCAUCCGCCACACCAACCAACCUCCUAUCGCCAUUGUCUUCGUUCGUUGUCUCUACCGGUAAAAAUGUUGUAUUUUGUAUGUAUAUUGUAUGUUGGAUAUUGUAUUUGUAUUAAUGUAUAUAUAUUGUAUGUUGGGUAUUGUAGAUUGUAUAUUAAUGUAUGUAUAUGUAUAUUGUAAAUUGUAUGUAUGUUUGUAUUUUGUAAAUUGUAGAUUGUGUAUUGUAUGUGUAAAUUGUAUAUUGUAUGUAUAUUUGUUAUUAAAUAUGUUGUUUGAAUAAGUUAAAUUAAAUUGAAAUUGAAAUUGAAAUUUUGAUUGUAUGUAUGUUUAUGGUAGAUUGUAAAUUAAAAUUGUAUAUUGUAUUUAUUUUUAUUAUAAAUUGUAAAUUGUAUGUAUUUUUAUUAUAAAUUAAAAAUUGAAAUUGUUGUAUUUAUGUUUAUUAUAAAUUUUAAAUUAAAAAUUGUUAUUGUAUGUAUGUUUAUUAUAAAUUGUAAAUUGAAAUUGUUAUAUGAAUAAGUUAAAUUAGAUUGUAAAUUGAAAUUGUAUAGUUUGAUAAUAAUUAGCGAAAUUGUGAUUUUGAUUGUUGAAGAGAGAUUUAAAUAUAUUAAAAUUGUUGAAUUGAUGAAAUUUCUAAUUUCUUGAAAUUGUUUAAAUACUUGAAGAUUUUUAUUGGUUUGGUGUGACUAUCGUGCAGUUAUGGUAGCCUCUAGUUUAUUAUUUGUGAACAUGAUUUUCUUUUGUUAGUAAUAAAGUUUAGGUUAUUUAUUUAAAAUUAUCUUAGUCAUUAGUUUAUGAUAAUUCGUUUAGGUUACUGCUAACGCUUUUUAGUUGGAAGUGUUAGAUAGAUUUAUUUAGUUUAAACAUAGAUAUAUUGAAAGUUAAGAUAUUGGAUACUUGUGAGGUUUAACUUAUUCAUAGAGAAAAUUUAGCAUUUGAGAGAAGGAAUAUAAGACUAAUUACACGUAUUUAUGUUCUAGGUUUUUAGUGAUGGACAAGAGUUGGAUGAAACUUAGGAAUAAGUUAUCGGUUGAGUAUAGAGAUGGAGUUUUCCAAUUUUUAGAAGUUGUCAAGUAUCACGUCGAUGAGUAUGGAUAGAUAAGGUGUCCAUGCAAGAGAUGUAUGAACUCGAAUUGGGACUCAUUAUUGCCUUUGUUUUACAGGUCCAAAGGCUCAAACAUCCUUUCACCAGACAUGGCAUUCACUUUUUCAAGUAACUCUAAUUCAUCUUUAAAGAAUUCUUCAGUGCUAAACAACUGGUGGUAUAUAUCUUCCUCAUAAUAGCCCCAUCCCGGGACUUCUAUUGAGCUGCAAUUUUUAACAUCAGCGGGGAGUUUCAUCGCGUUGAAAAUAUUAAAUUUAAUUUCUUCAUUAUUCAAACGCAUGGUCAAUUUUCCUUGGUGGACAUGUAUGAGGGCGUGACCAGUUGACAGAAAUGGCCGCCCCAACAUGAUUGGAACCUCCUGAUCAGCUUCGUAAUCCAAAAUGAUGAAAUGGAAUAGGAAUUUAUCCACCUUUAUCAAAACAUCUUCAAUUUUGUCAUCUGGCUUGGAGAUAGAUUUAUCCGCGAAUUAGAGCCUCGUUUUCAUUGGUUGUACCUCCCCUAUUUCUAAUUUCUUGAAAAUAGAGAAAGGCAUCAAAUUUAUGCUUGCCCCAAGAUUGCAUAGCGCACGAACCCAUAUCCAUCUCGCCUAUUGAGUAGGGAAUCGUGAAACUUUUGGGAUAUGUCUUCUUCGCAGGUACCCAUUUCUUGAAGACAUCACUUGUUGCUUGCGUUAGAGCCACUAUUUCAAGAUCGUUAAUUUGCCUCUUCUUCGCCAAAAUGUCCUUUAAAACCUUGACGUAAGCUGGCAUUUGCUCUAACGCAUCAACAAACGAGAUGUUGAUGUGCAAUUGCUUCAAAACGUCCAAAAACUUGAAAAACUCUUGUUUUUUUCCUUUCUUCUUUAAGCAACUAGGAAAAGGAGGAGGCGGUAAAGCAUUAGUUAAAAAGAAGUUUAAAGGAUAAGAAUUAUUACUUGAACUUCCAAUCUAGACAGUAGAGGUUGAAGUGGAAUUUUUUCGUUCAGACUCUGGUUCACGGAUGGUCAAGUUCCUUUCAAUUCUAAGUGUUACUGCUUGGCAUUUUUCUUUUCCUGAACCCCCUCCUUGAUUUGAUGUUUUGGUAUUGCUAGGAAGGGAUCCUUUUGAUCUUUUAGAGAUAUCACUGGUAAGCUGUCCCAAUUGCAAUUCAAGAUUCUUAAUGGAUGAUGGUUGGCCUUAUAGAAGGGCAUCAUUCCUCUGCAUAUAUUAGCAAAAAAGGACUUCCAUUUAUGACGAUGAUGGAAAAGAAGAAGAAGAUUGGUUAGGAAUGUUGUCGUGGUUAUGGCGCUGCGAUGGUUGUGUGGUCUUUCGAGAUAUGGUAUUUGAUGAUAGCUAGAUGCUUUACUCUUGUAAUUCAAGUGACCACUUUGUCGUGGUUGAACAUUUUGCUCCGAACCCCCUAGCUAAAAUUAUGAUGGUCUCUCAAUCCCGAGUUAUAAGUAUUAGAAUAGGGGUUGUGUCUCACGUAUGCAACUGUUUCUGUGUUCAUAGGGCAUGCGUCAACACUGUGAGGUCCAUUGCACCCCACACAUUCAGCCUCAUCCAGUUGUUGUACUGCUUUCAAUGAACUUCCUGCAGCUUUGAGUUGUGAUAAUGCCAAUGACUAUAGGAGUUUGUUCAUCUUAGUAACUUGUCCCCGUAAUGCCACAUUGCAUUCCUUUCUACUCCAUCUUCUAUCCUCCCUCUAUCUCUUAUGCUUCCCUUGCUCUCGCUUCACGAUCUAAAUCCAUCAUCUCUCUAUUCGUGACAAUUGUUGGCCAUAGCAUCCAACGUUGUUUUUAUCUGAUUGUGGGAUGAUCUAAGCAUCCCACCUAUAAACACAGUGUCAAUAGAUUGCUAUGUAAUUCAGCUUAACCCAAAAUAAAACCGUUCCAUGAGAACACAGCUAGGGUUGCUGUGGUGUGGGCAUCCCUUGAUCAUUCUCUUAAAUCGCCUCCAUGCGUCUAUAAGAUUCACAUUAUCUCUCUGUUCGAAGGUCAUCAGGUCCUACCUUCUUCUUGCGUUCUCAAUGGGAGGCAAUAACUCAUAAAUUUUUCAAUCAAGUCGUCUCAUGUAGUAGCUUCCCCUUCCUCCAAGGAGUUAGCCCAUUGUUUAGCUUCGUUGUGUAAUGUGAGUGAGAAUAACGCUAAAUACAAUUCGUCUCGAAUAUGCCCGACAUAUUAAACGACGCACCAAUAGAGUAGAAGUUUCUUAUAUGCUCGUGAGGAUCUUCGCGUGGAUAUCCUCCAAACUGCUCGACAUUUUGGAACAUUUAUAACAUUACUGGUUUGAUUUUGAAUCGUUUGUUUUCUCCAAACUCAAAGUAUGUGAUACCUAAAUUGAAGUUAUAGAGGUUAGGUGAUGCUUAUGAUCUAAUGGGGUGAUCUAGUUCAUGGGCGAGAUAAGCGGGAUUUUGAUCUAGGGCUUGUUGGUUGGAAAUGUUACUGUUUUGGUUGUCCAUGUUCGCUCGUUGUUGCCUCUGCGUUUGUCUAUAAUUUCUUCGAAAUGUUCUCUCAAUUUUAGGAUCAAGCUGGAAUUCAGGUUGUUCACAAACUUUUCGACUCAAGUACGUGAUUCAGCCAAAAUUGAACUUCUGCGUAAUUUAGUGCACAAUUUAGUUAAAAUAGAAAAAAAAAAAUAACUUCCCCAACGAUGCCAAGAGCUUGCUUAUUCUCUUUCAUGCAAUUGAUUCUCUCAAGUGCUACAUUCGUAGGUUAGCAUGGAAGACUUUGAUUUUUAUAACUACUAUGCGGCAAAAUGAAUGAUUUUUACAUUCGUAUGCGAUAAAAGGUGCACUCAUUUUUGUUGAUUUUAUGGAAUUAAUCUAUAUUUCAUUCAUUAUUUAAUAGAGAUACAAGCUUAUAUAUAACCAUAGAGAAAUACACUUAAGGAAAUAAUAUCAAAUAAUAUCUCCAGAAUAAUAUCUCCUAAGAAUAAUCUAAUUAUAUUAAUAAUUUUCAUGUGUUGCUAACAUAAUAAUCAAACAUUGUCGCACAAGCUUUCCUCUUUAUCUCCCAAGUAUAAGCAAAGAGGGAUUUCCUGAUGAUUCCAAGGUCGAACUCAGAUAAUUUAAGCUUCUAAUUUAUCCAAUUGCUUACUAACUUAUGUGGUACGGUAUACACUAUACAAUAAACCAUAUAAACAAUACUCAUUACCCUACCUAUUUACACUAUUGUGCUUGGCGGUGCAAGGUGAAUAUGGUGUGAUGACGCGAUGCAAUAUGAACUCAGUAUAUGCAUCAAACCUUUUGUCAUACCUUUUCAUAAUCAUUUCGCAAAAAUAAUAUCAAGUCAUUUAAACACACCAUCAAAUCAUUUCAUUUCGCAUAAACUUUUCUUUAUGCUUAACAAAUCAUUUCAAAACCAUUUCAUUUCGCCAAGGAUCCCGAAUCACUCUCUACGCUAGGUCACAUAACUUUGCGUUUAGACUACUGAAUCAUCAACAUCUGAGAGUAUCCUGAUUCGUUCUUAUUGGUUAGGCCACUAAGCAUUUUCCGCUCUUUUCAACUUAUAGGUCAACUUCACCACCACGUAGUCUCGUACACUCAUGGUGUCCUUUAACUCUUUAUAUGCACAUAAAAGUUACCUUUUUCAAAGGAAGUAACUAAUGGUUUGCACAGUAUAUCAUAAACAUUAAGAUCAAAUCAUGCUUUGAACAUCAUAACACUUUUUCAUAUAAAUAUCUUUUAGAAAUCAUUAACUCAUCAAAUCAGUAAAGAUUUAUAAGGAAACAUUUGACAUAAAAUAUUAAGGAAAACACUCACAAAAAUUUGAAAGAAGAGCACUCACUCUUCAACUUUCCUCUUCUCGCAAAGUCUCUCACGUAGACCAGGUGGCAACACUUUUGUAUUUCAACAAAACUCUCAUCAUACCCUAAUUAGUUACCCAAAUCCUUUAUCUAUAUUACUCUUUUAAUUUGGAUUAGUCAUCCUUUGUUCUUUAUCCAAUGGACAGCUCCUACUUCAACCUUAUAGUUGUUAAAUUUCUAACCUUAAUCUUACACGUUAACCCAUGUCAAAUCAUAUUUGACAUCUUCUCAUCAAACCUUUCUUCUCACCUAGUACCAUUCCGUGAAUAACUUCAUCCCUGAACAGCUUUCUAAGGUCUUAUCGCAUAACUUCUUUCGGGAACUACCAACUUUUCUCGUAAAAACUUUUUCUCUUGUAAGUGUUUAGGCUUAGAGGUCUUACCACAAAUCCUUCUCGUGAACUGCCUUACCUUAAGCUCUUGACACGUACUCAAACUAAAAUGCCAAGUUACAUACUUAGUAAAAAAAUUUCCUUUUUAACUUUUAAUUUAGGUUCGGGUCUUACAAAAACUCUUACGACAUUAACUAUAACUUUCUUAUCAUUGAAUACAUCAUUCAUUACUACUUAGCUAAUCAAUUACAUGUAUCUAGGCAAGAUAAGAAAAAUGAGAGAAUGGAAGAAGAAAUGCAUUGGUUUCAUAAAUAACACUUUUAGCCUUUCGACCAUGAACUUCUGCUUACAAAACAACACAAAAUAAGAAAUAGAAAGUGGAAAUACAAUAGAUGUGUUACGCCGCAAAGUAUGAUCUCUCAUACUCUUUGGCUUUGAUUUUUGCCUAUAGAUGAGGGGAACAAUGGAGGGGUGAAUUUCUCUGUUUUGUUUUAAGCUCUCACCUAAAACUCAAGGUAAGGGAGAAGAAUGGAUGAUAUGAAGAGCUUGCUUUCCGGCUAAAUUGUGCACACCUCAUUUUGGGAGUGAAAAGCUCUAUUUAUACACAGAGAGUGAUGCUGACAUGUCGAUACGCGUCAUUAAGAUCUCUAAAAAGUUAUGAUUACUGUGCAGCCUAAUCUAUUUGUCCUUUUCUGACUUUUCCGCCAACCUCUUUUGUUUGCUAGCGGCUUGAUCGCCUAGCGACUACUUCUUCACCCUUGAGAGGUUGGUUGGGUCUCCUUGCGUUUAACGUGCUAUCCGCCGAGCUUCUCUUCUCCGCUUAGAAUCCUACAAUAAGAGCAUUAAAAAAUAGUAAAACAUGGAUCAAGUUCUUUUGCGUUAGGCUUUUCAUGAAGUAAUCAAAUUAACUUCUUUUCUCUCUGUUUUCUUCUCUUUUCAUGCGAUAAGACUUCAUUAUUUCACUUAAAAGGCUACAAUAAUAUGUAUUUCUACAAGUUAUCACACACCUCAUUUUGGAGCAUCUCCCCACUAGUCCCAAGAUGUGGCGUGAAGCCAACCGAUAUCAUUCUUCUUCUAACAACACAUAUUGAUCAUGCUUAACCUUUACUCUUAUCUAUCCCUUUUAAUAAACUUAGAUAUAAAGUGCGAAAAGAAAUGUCUAAACUUGAAAAUAAUAAGUUAAAUCUUUACAAAACACUUUCAAGUUUACCCAACUAUUGGAUAACUUGUUCAUAGUCUUGUAUAGAAAAAAACUAAGUUCAAAGUGUCAACCAAAUAACACUAUUAUAAAUAUCAAAUCAAAAGCCUUUUCCAAAAAGUAUUAUAGACAACACAACUAAGUCCAUUCUAACUUAAUUACAACUUAGUAUGCAUGAAUGAGACGAGUCACAAAUUCUAUUCUACUUCUAGCAAAGUAGGCAGAGCGCUAGUAGGCACUGAAACCACGGUUUCUACCUAUAAGAAAAAUGAAACAAUGAAGAGUGCGUUAUAAAGUCCUGUGAGUGACAUCGUUUAAAACAAAACAUAAGAAUGAAAACUUCGAGCAAUAAAUACAUAAACUUAGCAAAGCAACUUCCUUUUCUUAACUUAACUUUCAACUUCCUCUUUUCUUUCUUGCUAUACCUUAAAUUUCAUAUAUUUAUGGAACAAAAAUCUAGGCAUGAAAUCAAUAUCCCUCGAUACAAUACCUGUGAGACGGAACUCUAGGCGCCACUAGUACCAUAUCUCGUUAUAGUUAUCAUGAGAUGGAAAAAUUUAGGCUUAUGUGGAGGCCCCUAUCUCUUAUCUAGUCUAUGUGAUGGAAACCCUAGGCAUCUACUGGAUACCCUCAUCACACGACCUCUGUGUACAGGACAAUCUCCUCCGUAAGGUUCCUAAUCACCUUGAAAUAUCUCGGUAUAGAGUAAAACAUAUUUAGGAAUUUCAUGCUAAAGCUUUGACUCAAUUAAUUUAGCAUGCUUAUGUAAAACUUUUGCAUUAAGCAAGUCUCAAAUGUAGUUUUGCUCAAAUACUUUCAAAACUUAGCAUUUAAACACAUUCGCAUAAAUCUCAUGUUUAAAAAAAUGUUUCUUAAUUUGAAUGCUUUAGAAAUUUAGCUCAAUCAUGGUUCGUAAAUAAACUCAUAAAUCUAGCAUAUACAAAAUUUUAACUCAAGCAUGCUUUAAAACAUAAAUUCUUAAGUCAAAAUUUUAAACUCAAACAUGCUUUAAAACAUAAAUUCUUAAGUCAAAAUUAGAAAUUUAUUUGAUUUUUUUUUUUUUUUUGUCACUCACAACUUUUGGCAAGAUUCUUGGUCUAUAGAUUUGUCCAAUUGCUUUUUCUUCCUGAAACUAACAAGAAAAUAUCAAGUUACUUUGGUUCCAACAAAGGGAAACUUUUUUCAACUUCUUUACUUUUUCGUACCCAAAGGAACUAUUUUCUUACUAAUCUUGAUCUCUUUGAACUCUUUGAACUCUUUGGGUGGUCUUAGCUUACUCAAUACCAGUUCUACAAGUUUAUCCUAGCUUAAACACAAGUUUAUCCUAGCUUAAACACAAGUUUAUCCUAGCUUAAACACGAGCUUCCAACAAAUUUAGAGCCUAAAACAACAAGCUCUAACUUAGCAAACUCUUCAGCUUCUUAAACAAGGAAGAAGAAACUUGGACUUCUUGGAUCUAAACCUCAAGCUCUACUUUUUCUCUUUAGCCCAAGUCUCUUCAAACACUUCAUUUCUAAGGUAGCUUCUUGAUAGAAACCCACAACAAAGCUUGGUCGGGCAACCCUUACACUUUGGCUUUAACUCUUACAAAAAAAUCUCAAGUUUUCUCUACUUCUUCUCUCUACCUGGCUCUUGAAGUGAAAAUGGUGAAAACUGAGAGAAAUGGGUCUUUUGCACUCACAUGAAACUAUGCGUCCGAAAAACGCUAAACCCUCUCGUGCUAGAAAUUUUCAAAAAUCUAUCUGUCACGCAUCCUUUAAUAAUCUCGACCAAAAUCGGCCCGAGAUCCUUCAAGAUCUGCACUUUUCUUAGCCAGACAUACCUGAAACCCUACCCAAGAAUCCUAAUAAUUUCCUAUUCUACUUCCAGACCCAGCCGAACAUGACUUCGAGAUGGACUGAGACACAACUCCAAAACCAUUAUGUCUUUCAACUCAGUCGACAAGCGCCAAGAUGCUCAUGUCUCAAUACAAGAAUUUUCUCUCUUUUCCAUCUCGCUCGAGACUACUCAAGGCUAGUCCAAAAUUCUUGCUUUUGUCCUUUCUAUGCCUUUUCUCUCGGUCGAACAAAACUAAGUCUGAACAUCUUUGUCCUAUGAUCUUUGCCUUAGCCCGAAACUCUUGGACAAUUGAUCUGAACUCACCUUUCAAUCUUUAUCAAGCCAAUGUGAUAGAAGAUAUGGGUAGUACAUCUAAUGAGCGAGAUUAUUGCUCGGAGGAUAUAUAUUUGAAACAGAGAUGCUAUCUUAGAGGAAACAUUGAGAGGGGAUGUCGAUCUCAUAGGUUUGACCGUUAGUAUUGUGUCCGCUCUACUAUCGCAACAGAGAUGGAAUUGGUAUUGAUUUAGCUCUCAUUUUUAGGACUUGUUUUAUGGUAGAGAGAGGAAAGCUAGUUUGAAUAUCUAUUUAAAAUUAUUUGCAAAGAUUAAAUUAUUUAACAUGAUUUGCUGAGUUGAACUAUCUAGAAAUGUAUUCAUAAGUUUGUCACUUAAAUGUUUUAAGCUUAAUUUGUUCUAGAAACUUGGUCAAUUACUGGAUUUUUUGUAGCUUACCCUUUCAAAAUAUUUUUCUACUUCUCAAGUAGACAUCGAGCUCCCGAUACCUGGCAUGGUGCCAUUAGUCCACUAGAAGUUUCCCACACCAUUUUCAGUAUGUGUGUGUUGUGCUGUAUAUUGUGUCUGUACAUUUGUGUAUGUGAGUCGAUAAAAGUUUGUUUGUUCGUGGGAGUAUAUGUUAGUCUUCUUUAUUAUUAUAAUUUUGGGCUGGUAAUGCCUAAGAAAGAUUAGUUAAACCUUUAACAAAUAGGUUGGGCUGGGUUAUGACAUGGUACAAAUUAAGUACAAGUUUAUGUUGCUAUGUUACUUGUUGAUUUCAUAUGAAAGUAUUUGUUCAAAGUUUAGUUUAGCAAAGUCAACAGAUGUCAUUAAAAUAGAACGAUGUUUGUUAACUUCACACCAUCUCUUGGGCAAAGAGUAGGUGAUUCGAGAGGGGGCGUGACAUUUUGUGCUCUAAAUUUCAUACAAACCCAAAGAACAUUUAAUUGCUUUCUUUACUUUUCUUGCAUACGUUCUCACAAAACCCCACUUUCCUAUAUUAAAAUUCUUGAUUCUUGAUUGAACAUUUGUGUUACCUAAACAAAAUUCCCUUGGGUUUGAUCCCUAAUCUCUUUACUACGUUGCUAAUUUUUUUAUGAAUGAUGUCUGAUAACAAAUUGACUUUGUUGGUUGUGAAUUUAAGGGAUCUUUCACCCUUUUGCUUUCUUUUAACAUGUGCUUCAUCUACCUAACAUACUCCUAUACUAAUUUAGUCAUCAAAGUGUGAUACUCACUACAACAAUGCAAGGAUUUUUUCAUAAAGGUUAGCUCUAAAAGCAAGAUAAGAUCACCAGGAAAAGCAAGUUAACAAACAAGCCCACAAAUGGUUUGAGACGACAACGAACGUGAACAAAAACAAGUGUCAACAUAUUUCAAUCUAUAUUAAUAGUCUUUUUGUUCAUAUUUGAUAGAAAUCAACAUUACCACAUACAUGGAGUUUGAUAAUUUUUUUCUUC